rnacentral:lncRNA from 1 species
CACCCUCCUCUCCAGGCGCUCCCACCUAGGCAGGCGCGAGGCGGAAGCACACUGGCGGGUGAAGGACAGAAAGACAAAUGGAGAGCUCUCCAGCCAGCACACGCAUUAAACAAAUGACCGUAAAGCGACGGCUUGCAGAGGAUCCGCUCAAGGAACCGCCUUCUAAAAGUCGUGUCGUCAGCCUCAGCAGUGCAGGACGCCUUCCUGACCGGAGGGUGCUGUCCUUGAAGGAGGAACAGCUCAUUUUGGUCUUCCGAGCAUCCCUGGAGAUGGCCAGCGCAGGUGCGGCUGUCCCCACAGGGCCGUCUCUUUCCAUCGCCACACCACCACCUCCGAAGUGCAUCCUAGGGUCCCGAUUUUACAGGGGGAGAAACUGAGGCACACAAAAAAAGGAACUUAU